UGGUAAGCUGCAAAAAGAGAAAACCAGUAACAAUCGUCGCUGACAGGUUGGCAAUGAGAGUGUGUGUGUCCCUGCCCUACCUAGGUAGACAGGAGUUACACACUAUGGGACUGGAAACAAAAGUGACAAAAACGAUAGUGAGUUAGGCCAUUAGAAGCCUUUAGUAAGGUGAAAAACAUUCUUGCCUUGCUGGGAAAGAAGAAAGGAAUGGGAGGAGCCAAAAUGACCAACUAGACUAUGGACUGACCAGUGAGCCUGUAAUCAUUCACACUCCUACUAAGCAAUGGCCCGGAAGCAUGUAACCAAAGAGUUGUCAGCUGGUAAGAACCACCAGUUGCCAGUGGCCAGCCCAGAGCCUCAGUUUUGUCACUCAGUUUGUGCCCUGAGAUUCUGCCCAUCUGACAAAGAACUUGAAGCACCCUCACCACUGCCCCAAGAUGAAAGACUUGGUAACCUUGUGGAAUGAUGGUGAUAGGAAAGGAACACCCUAUCUUUGACCAAGGUGGAACUAUACAAAACCUGUUUAAAGUGGGCCAGAGCUCUGGGACAGUGGCAUAAUACAACACAUAGCCUUUGUUUUACAUACACACACAUUCCUGGUAUUUAAAAUCCCCAAAUGUACUGGUGAAAAAAACUAAGCAAACAAGAAAUAAAUGAGUUUGAGAUAGGCAUAAGAGAAGAGGCUGGAAGCAGAGGACUGACAUUUCAAGAUGGGCUAAGAUCUUAGACUAUUGAUCAACUAAAACGGAAAUCCCAGUCUGAA
rnacentral:lncRNA from 1 species